rfam:Populus trichocarpa scaffold_10_contig_203, whole genome shotgun sequence.
GUAACUGUUUGGGGCAAAUCCCCAUAUAGUUAUGACAGACCGAUUCUUUACAGCUCAGAAUUACUCGUGAGAAUUACUGUGUGACAAUAACUUUUUAAACUUUUA